rnacentral:tRNA from 1 species
CCUCCUUUAGCUCAGUGAGAAGAGCUUAGGGCUCGUAACCGAAAGGUUCUGGGUUCGAAUCUCGCCAGAGGCAGAC